GGAAUAUUGGACAAUGGGGGCAACCCUGAUCCAGCAAUGCCGCGUGUGUGAAGAAGGCCUGAGGGUUGUAAAGCACUUUUAGUUAUGAGGAAAUGUUGUUUGUUAAUAGCAGAUAGCUUUGACGUUAGUAACAGAAAAAGCACCGGCUAACUCUGUGCCAGCAGCCGCGGUAAUACAGAGGGUGCAAGCGUUAAUCGGAAUGACUGGGCGUAAAGGGCGCGUAGGUGGUUAUUUAAGUUAGAUGUGAAAUCCCUGGGCUUAACCUAGGACCUGCAUUUAAUACUGGAUGACUAGAGUACAGGAGGGGGCAGUGGAAUUUCCGGUGUAGCGGUGAAAUGCGUAGAUAUCGGAAGGAACACCAGUGGCGAAGGCGACUGCCUGGCCUGAUACUGACACCGAGGCGCGAAAGCGUGGGUAGCGA
rnacentral:rRNA from 1 species